rnacentral:lncRNA from 1 species
UCAGUUGAGAUGAAGACCUGUACGAAGGCUGACCAACAGAGUCAGUCUGUGGGUGGAGGGAGACUGAGCUGUGCCACAUCAGCCUGUUUAGUGGUGGAGAUCAUGGCAGACUGCAUAUGAACAUGAGUGUUUUCUGCAGAUUUCCAACAAAUGCUGAUGGUUAAAGAAGAGGUGUCCUCUGAAUGUAGCUCCAGUCUAGACCUGAUCCAGGAUGCAGACGCCCUACAUGUAACAGAGGAACAGGAGGAACGUUGGACCAGUCAGGAGGGAGAGCAGCUUAAUGUCCUGGAAGAGGCCGAUAUCACCAGGUCCCCAUUCACUGCUGUUUCUGUGAAGAGUGCAGCUGAUGAAGACAAACCUCAGACCUCACAGCUUCAUGAGUCGCAGACUGAAAACAACAGAGAGACAGAGCCUUCCACCAGCAGCUCAGCUAACCAGGUGAGAACAGAGGCUGAUGGAGAGGACAGUGGAGGACUAGAUCCAGCCUGGUCGCUGGAUCCAAAAAGUCUUUUACAACCAAACCAUGAAGAAAAGGCUUCAGACUCUUCUGAGACUGAAGUCAUCGAUGAGUGGCAGGAACCUUUGUCAAAUUCUGGAUCUGAAAGUCAAGACAGUCACGAUGGCUGGAACAAGAACAGGGCACCUGAGUCAGGUGUCCAUGUAAGUGAUGAGGUGAAGAAGAAACCACUGGUGGACUGA